GAUGAACGCCGGCGGCGUGCUUAACACAUGCAAGUCGAACGGAAAGGCCCAAGCUUGCUUGGGUACUCGAGUGGCGAACGGGUGAGUAACACGUGGGUGAUCUGCCCUGCACUUCGGGAUAAGCCUGGGAAACUGGGUCUAAUACCGGAUAGGACCACUUCUUGGAUGUUGUGGUGGAAAGUUUUUUCGGUGUGGGAUGAGCUCGCGGCCUAUCAGCUUGUUGGGGGGGUAAUGGCCUACCAAGGCGUCGACGGGUAGCCGGCCUGAGAGGGUGUACGGCCACAUUGGGACUGAGAUACGGCCCAGACUCCUACGGGAGGCAGCAGUGGGGAAUAUUGCACAAUGGGCGCAAGCCUGAUGCAGCGACGCCGCGUGGGGGAUGACGGCCUUCGGGUUGUAAACUCCUUUCGCUAGGGACGAAGCGUUUUGUGACGGUACCUGGAGAAGAAGCACCGGCUAACUACGUG
rnacentral:rRNA from 1 species